UCAGGAGGCUUGGGAGUGCGGUUGACUCCUGUCUGCCUCCCCGCCCAUGCCUGGAACAUGGAUGGACGCACUCCCACGAGGCCUGCAGAGGUACCUGACAUCCUCACACCAGCUGCUCCUUGGGUCCCCCACGGCCGCCUCUUCCUGCUUCUCAGCAGCUCCCCUGGGUGGGUCUGGAACCAGCACGAUAAGCAGGAUCAAGGCCACGGCUUCCAGGCAAGGCAUGACCUGGGCAUGGGAGGGCCCGGAAAGCUCAGGACCACACAAACACGCCCGGGACCCUGGAGCUCCUGCCGGUGACGAGCCACGUGGCCCAGGGUCUGGGGGGCUUUGCGCCCUGGGGGCGGGGCAGGGGUCUCACUUCUUGGCUGCUGGAUAUACGGAAAGCUUGACAUCUCCUCAGCCCUAGGAGCACAACCUCUCUGCGGAGUAGUGUCCCCUUAGGACUCCCUUUAAUGUGUCCAGUAGACACGACUCCCUCGGGGCUCAUGAGCCUGACCAGGGGGACUCACCACCUGCGCCCGCCAGGUAUGUUCUGCCCCAAGCUGUUCCCACCCUUGGCUGUCCCUCCCGGAGACCCCACGAUGCAGCAUGUACGGCCCCCACCCACGUUACAAGCCGCUUGCUUGAGCUCACACUGCUAGCAAACCCAGCAGCCAGCAUCUGAACCCAGGGCCAUGACCUCCACAGCCAUGUUCCAUCGGAUGUCUGAAGCUGCCAAGGUCUGAUCCCUCCCAUGGCGCCAGCAACCAUGCCAAGUGGCUAAGGCCACUGGAGGCUGGAAAGUCCCUGCUGGCCCAGGGAGAUUGGAGGGAAGAAGAGGAGGCUGGACUCACUCGGAAGGCCCAACGCCAGUUCCCAGUCAGCUGCAACACGGCCGACCCCAGCACGUAGCCCAGACCACUGCGAUAGAGGGGCAAGGAGGACAGGCAGUGAGGGUGGGGGGCAGGUACCAGCCGGCAAGGCCAGCCUGAGCUGGGGCCCCCACCCAAGACGCUGCUGCUGUUCACAGCCCUGUCACGGGAAACGUGAGCCACGUGAGGCCCAGGUGUCCGCUGCCCUUGGUCAAGUCACUGGUGACCUCUGGCUCCAGGCCCAUCCCCUGCACCACUGCCCAAUGCGGCCCUAUCUGAAGACCCACGGCUCAGCCCUGCCUGAGUCAGGCGAUUCCAGGAAACCCGGAUUAGAGCUCAGAGGUCAGACUGCAAAUCCCACUCUGACCUACACAAACCUGCCCCCACCCUCACUGCCCCAGGGGUGCCUGGCCCAGGCCCACACACGCCCCAAGUGGGCCUUCCCCAGUGUCCUAGGGUAGAGGGAACACCUGUAUUAUCUCUAACCCUUAAGACAGCCCAUCGGCCUGUGUCCUCGCCCCCUUUACAGAUGAGGAAACUGAGGCCCAGAGAAGUAAAGGGACAGGACAAGGAAGGGGGAGGGCUGGGAUGCAAAUUCCAUCCCUAGUCCAGUUUCUGUCCUGGCUCCUGUGGGCCUCAGUUUACCACCUAGGGAAGUGGGUCCUGGGUGGUACCAACCUUCCAACAGGAAUAAAGAUGUAGAAGACGGCCAGCACCCGAGUCCGCUGAUCCCUCACAAAGAGGUCGCCCAGGACGGUGGGCGCGAUGGUGGAGAAGCUGGCCGAGCCUAUGCCCACGACCCCCCGGGACAGGAUGAAGAGCCAGGAAUACUGGGCAAGGAAACACAAGACCCCAGCCAGUUCCAGUGGACAGUAGCGGUCACCCGCACACGCCCCCAGCAGGCAGCAGCCGGUCGUGCAGGAGAGGAAGGCUCCCAAGGACAGCAUCUAAGGGGUUCCUCCCUAGGCCCUGGAGGGCGCCCCUGCCGCCAGCCUGGAGCCCGGAAUGGACGGAGGCCAGCGCAUCCGCCUUUCCAAGGGAGAAACCAGGCGGGGGUAGGUCCCCAGGGGCCUGGCAGGGGUGUGGGCACCUACCUGGGGGGAGAUGAAGGAGCUGGAGAGGCCUGCCCCCGACCAGAGCAGGAUCCCAAUACUCAGGGCGGCUUUGCGGCUGUGGCGAUCGCCCAGGUAGCCGAACACCGGUGCGGACAGCAGCAGGCAGCAGACGAAGACUGGAGGGGACAGGCAGGGCCGCAUGCAUCUCCCGCUGCGGCGGGCGGGCGUGCGUGCGGGCCUCCUGGCCCCCCCCGAGUAACCGGGCUCGGAUGCCACAGUGGGCACCGCGGCAGUGGGCGGGAGCCAGGAGGAGGAAAAGGUACCCCAACCCCCCGAUCUCCGCCUAACCCAUAACCCAACGCCCAGAGUAAGGGGACUGGGAAGGGGAGUGGAGGGUCCCGGCGGGCUCACGGUGCACAGCUCUGAGCAUGCUCCCAAGUGCCCGCGGGGCUGUGGCCCAGAGUGAGGGCGGACGCGGCCUCGGGGCAGCUCGGGGGCCCCCAGGGCUCCCUGCCCGGACCCUGUCUCUGCAGAACCCCCCUCCUCGCACCGGCCGGCCCGCUGGGUCCGAUUUUGCUACCGCACCCCUGCUGGGGCAGUGGGGGCGGCGGGAGGCGAGGGCGGUCGGCCCGGGCUCGGCCUCCAGCAGGGUUUCACGGGGUCGGCGGCCGGUCCCGGACCCCGUCGGUGGUGCUGCCCACUCGGUGAAGCAGGCCCUCCGACCCGCGGCGGGACGAGCGAGCCCGGCGGCUGCCCCGCGAGCGGAAGAAGCUGCCGCGCGUCUGCGGGACUCGCCGCGCGCACGGGGACCCUCGCGGCUCGGGUCCCUUCUCGGCAGGUGCAGCGGACGGCCUGGACCCGCCUACGCCGAGGCCCCGCCCACUAUAGGUCCCCAUUCGCUGAGCGCAGAUGAUUGACGCGGCCCGAGCCGAAUGAGCGCCAGACCCGCGUGCGGUCCCAGCCCCUCCCAUCUCCCGGGGCGGCUCUAGCAGCCCGCUGAGCCGCCCGCGGUUGCAGGAAUUAGGCCAGUUUGGACCCACAAAACCUGGCAAUUUAAUACGGUUCGACCGAAUACCCCCACAGAAAAUGGUCCUCGGUGUCCGUGGCGUUUAGAAUUUAACAGCUUCUGCCAACACGGCUGUAUCCGUGUCCGCGGGCGCAGAAGCGCGUGCCAUGGCCCCGGCUGGCACCUGACGCAUCAGUCGCACGCACUGUUUUCGCUCCUUUAACGGUUGAAAAGCGGACAGUGUCUCGCUGGUGUUUCAGUCUGCAUCGUCCAUCUGUCCAGUGAAGCUGAGCAGGUUCCGGAGCUCACAUCCUCUGCCGUUUGGAAUUACCACGCAGAUGGUGGGGCUAGAGGACCUGGGCUCUCACCCCGAACCAAAGACAACCCUAACCCUAACCCUAACCCUAACCCUACCCCUAACCCUAACCUGUGUGCCUGUGGGUAAGCUCCUUAACUCUUCUGCCCCACUCCAGUCAGUGAUAGGAAAUGGUAACUGUGCUUCCCACAGAAGGUUACAGAGAAAAUGAAACAAAACAAAACGUAGGACAGGCAGCGCCUAGCAUUAGGUGACCGCCUUGUAACUGUCACCCAUCGUCAUCUCUAACUGCAUUUGUGGUGUCAACUGCUGUUGCACGGAAGAGUGUAGCUUCUGUGGACUGAAACCUAUCACUCUUCCUCUGGCCGGGGUGGUUUGUCUUCUUAAGGUGUAUCUUCUCUCCCCGAAGGUUGUAGAAAUAUUUCCCUGAAUCCUCUAAUAGUUUUAUGAGGUUUGGGGCAGGGAUCCCUUAUAGAUAUAAACAGCUUCACCCCGAAGACUCCCUGAGAUGGAGAAACCUGACCUAGGGGGAAGGCACCCUCACACAGGUGCAUGCCCCGGCUCCUGGCAGCUCCAGAUUCGGUGGCUUGGGAGAAAAAAUGGAAGGAGUGAAGGAGCAGGGGGUGAACAGGAGGGCUCUACAGGCAGCUGCCAGGACUCGAAUCCCAGCUGCGGGACCUUCAGCAAGCCCACAGCCUCUCUGUGGCUCAGCUGAGCCACACCCUCUCAGUCAGGGGCUUCCUGCAUUCUGCGCUCUGUGGACAAACAGCACCGUGGGGCUCGGGUCUUACAUAAGGUCUUACACCAGGACUGGGGAAGGUGAAGACUCCCCCGAGGUCAUGGGAGAGACAGAGCCUGGUCGUCAGGCCUCCAGCCCCCUGCUCUCUCCACACACCUCUCGGGGAUGCUUCUGCAGUGCUGACCCUCCCUUCACCCACUGCACACCCCGGGCACGUGCACAACCCCCCGACACUUGCACACACAUGCACAUGCUUCUCUCUCCACGGCAUCUCACUUAUGGGAGCCUCGUGGUGACAACCCAGCUCACUAAGCAGGGGGAGCACCAGGGAAGACGGAUCGUGACUCAACGGCCAUCAUCUGUUUAAUCUAGAAGAUUGUGGGGACUGAGCCCAGAGGGUCUCGCUUUGGCUCCUCAAAGGUCGGCACCUGCUGCUGGCCUCUGCCUCGAGACAAGAGCGGUUGGAAAACACACGUGGUCUAAAGCCAAGGUCUGCUGGCUCUUUGCCCCAGGGCCUUAAGAGAG